AUGGAGACAACAGACAUCUACGCCGAAGCUCCGUCAACUAUGUCAGGACGAACGAUGUCAAGGAGGAUCGUAGCCCGGAAGACUAACUCUUGGGAUUUUAUUGGGUCGUGCACUUGUGUUGAUGAAGUGAAGUUUCGUGCGUGCCUUGCGGGUAUCUAUAUCGGUAUCAGCUUCAAUAAGCCAAUUAUUUUAGAAUCUGAUAGCUCAUCUGCGGUUUCCUAUCUUGCGGAUGAAAUUCUAGACAAGUUCCCACUUGUUGAUCUUAAAAGAGAAGUGCUUGGCAUUGAGAAGCUCACAAGAAACCUCAAGAUCUUGAAGAUCAAUUGGCAGGCAAAUAUGGCGGCCCAUAAGAUUGCUAAGUUUAGUUUCGAUUGCUAA
rnacentral:rRNA from 1 species